rnacentral:tRNA from 1 species
GCCGGGGUACCCAAGCCUGGACAAAUAGAAGAUGGGUCAGAAUCCUCUGGCGUAGGCCGUCGUGGGUUCAAGUCCCACCCCCGGCACCA